GGACUGAUGAAUGUGUGGAGCAGACAGAUGAUCAUGUGACUUAUACCGAGGUCACUGCGUACCGUAAAAACCAAGGCAAAACGAACAAGGUUCACUGUGAUGAUAAAGUGACGUAUUCCUCCAUCAGAGGAGCAAAAGUUGGAGCUCCGGAAAACUGCAGUGAACUUUAUGCCUCUGUGAACUAGAACCAUCACAAAUCAGCUGAAUAAUUAUAUAAAACACAUGAGCAGAGGAAUAUGAAUCUAAUAUAAUUGACUCCUAAUGGUUUCAUUCAGUGCCAUUAUAAAUACUUUCAAUGUCUUUUACAUGUUAACAAACAAACCCAUGUGAUGCUCUGAUUUAUUUUGCUCAGUUCAGCAUGUUAUUGUAUAGUCUCUGUCUGCUUGUUGAUCAGUUAAUGCUAGUGUCUUUAUUAUUAAUUCAGGGUCUGCAGACUUUCACAAAGUCUAGAAAAUGAGGACAGUUUGGUAACGCUUUAGAUUACAGCCCGGAAAGUACUGCGUAAUUACAACGAAUUUACAGCAUAACUUUCAAUAAUUAUAGUGUACCUAUAAAGUAAGUACGUGUAAGUAUAGGGGAACAAUAUGUAAAGUCUUGGGAAUAAAGGGGGAACAACCAGGAAAAUAACAAAUUGUUUAUACUGUAAGUACUUUAGAACUAAAGGUUACUUAUACUAUUAUGAUAGACAACAAUCUUACGUUUGGAAGCAAUUUAGCGAGAAAGUGCACUGAUUAAGUUAGAAAGUAGAAAGAACUAUUGCAAUCUUUUUUAAUACAUGGGGAAAUAUACUUUUGUCUCAUGUAGUUACAGGGUAAGUGUGACAUUGCGGGCCGUAAAUUAAAGUGGUGCUUGUUACACUCUUGUUUCAUGUAGUUACAGGGUAAGUAAUAAAAAAAAAAUGCAAACAAUCUGUUAUCACUCAGAAACCUUUAUUUGAAAAACAACUUAUUUCAAAACAGAUUUAAAGUUACAACACUUCUUAUUCGUUUCUCUUGCUUGGCUUCCUCCUCCUCUUGUUCCUCUUCUUCUUUUUCUUUCUUUCCACUGAUGAAUCUUAAGAGGGAAUCCCAUGUCAUUUGCUAUUCUGUAUUAAAAGAAAAUACAGUACACCCGGAAAUGUGCUCACCGUUUACUCAUCUUUUACCCUCAUGCUGAGAUGUAUACGACUUUCCUUCUUAAGAUGAACACAAACAAAGGUUUUUAGAAAAAUAAAUCAUAUCUGGGAACACUUUAUAAUGCAAGCUCAUGUGUUCCUAAGUCGAAGCAUCAAACAGCACAUACAGCGAUAACUACAGUAAUCCAUACGACCCCAAUGGAUGAAUCAAUGUCUUCUGAAGUGAAACAAUACGUAUUUGUAAGAAAAAUACCAAAUAUUUUAAAAUUUUAAACUUUUGACCAACUGUCACCUGCUCGUGCAUGAGAGGGUUGAGAGUUCAUGCUUGACUUAACUUGAAGCGUGACGUAAGUGUGCCGAGAAACUCACGCGAAAAGUCACGCGGAUGUCGGAUGUCAGUUUUUUUUUUUUUAAUUAAUGCUCACAACAAAAUACACAGAAUAACAGAUAAUGAUAAUGAGAAACAAACAAGACAGAAUAACAGAGACGGCAGUUCUCGCGCGAGUUUCACAUGAAUCUCCUGCGAGAACAUCAUGAAAGCUUCACGUUGCUCAUUACAAUAUGCUUCGUUGAACGCAAAGUCGACUCUCAUGCAGGCGCUGGUGACAGUUGUUCGGAAGCGAAAAGAUGAAUAGCCUAAACCAUGAGAAAAUUUCUGGGUGUACUGUAUUUUCUUUUAAUACAGAAUAGCAAUGGGAUUCCUUCUUAAGAUUCAUCAGUUGAGAAACAAGAGGAGGAGGAAGCCAAGAGAAACAACAACAACCAAAAAAAGGACAAAACGUGUUACUUUCUGUCAGGACUUUAGAAUUUGAAAUGAAAAGUUGAAGUACAUGAAACAAGAGUGUAACAAGCACCACUUUAAUUCACAGCUCGCAAUGUCAUACUUACCCUGUAACUACAUGAAACAAAAGCAUAUUUCCCCAUGUAUUAAAAAAGAUUGCAAUAGUUCUUUCUACUUGCCUUGAAACAACUUAAUCAGUGCACUUUCUCGCUAAAUUGCUCCCAAACGUAAGAUUGUUGUCUAUCAUAAUAGUAUAAGUACCCCUUAGUUCUAAAAUACUUACAGUCUAAAUAAUUUGUUAUUUUCCUGGUUGUUACUCCUUUAUUCCCAAGACUUUACAUAUUGUUCCCCUAUACUUACACGUACUUACUUUAUAGGUACACUAUAAUUAUUGAAAGUUACGCUGUAAAUUCAUUGUAAUUAUGCAGUACUUUCCGGGCUGUAAUCUAAAGCGUUACCGACAGUUUUACUCUCUUAGAUCAUUCUCAUUAAAUCAUGUAUUUUCUCGAGCAGCUUAUUAACUGUCAGCUUGCACUAAUUAUGAGGACAGCCAAAGCAUGAUGAUGUAAGCGUUUAUCACAAUAUGUCAGGAAUGAUAAUUUGGUGUUUGAACCGUUUGAGCAGCUUCUUUCAGCAAUGCUUGUAAUAUUAUAUUUUAUUUGUUAAUAAUAAAAUAGUCUAUGUCAAACCUCUGUCUUUAUGGUGAAAUAUAUUUU